UGGGGAAUAUUGCACAAUGGGCGCAAGCCUGAUGCAGCCAUGCCGCGUGUGUGAAGAAGGCCUUCGGGUUGUAAAGCACUUUCAGCGAGGAGGAAGGUGGUGAGCUUAAUACGCUCAUCAAUUGACGUUACUCGCAGAAGAAGCACCGGCUAACUCCGUGCCAGCAGCCGCGGUAAUACGGAGGGUGCAAGCGUUAAUCGGAAUUACUGGGCGUAAAGCGCACGCAGGCGGUUUGUUAAGUCAGAUGUGAAAUCCCCGGGCUCAACCUGGGAACUGCAUUUGAAACUGGCAAGCUAGAGUCUCGUAGAGGGGGGUAGAAUUCCAGGUGUAGCGGUGAAAUGCGUAGAGAUCUGGAGGAAUACCGGUAGCGAAGGCGGCCCCCUGGACGAAGACUGACGCUCAGGUGCGAAAGCGUGGGGCAGCAAACAGGAUUAGAUACCCUGGUAGUCCACGCUGUAAAACGAUGUCGAUUUUGGAGGUUGUGCCCUUGAGGCGUGG
rnacentral:rRNA from 1 species